rnacentral:misc_RNA from 1 species
UCUCCGUUGGUGAACCAGCGGAGGGAUCACUAUCGAGUUUAGAACUCCCAAACCCUAUGUGAACUUACCACUUGUUGCUUCGGCGCGCGCUUCGGCGCCGCCGAGGACACUUAAACUCUUUGUUUUUAUAAGCAUUUCUGAGCGGCCGAAAGGCAAAAUACAAAUGAAUCAAAACUUUCAACAACGGAUCUCUUGGUUCUG